UCAUUAGGUGGCACAAUCCUUACCUGUUUUUCUAUUCAGAGGGUAGAUAGAACAUGAUGAUUUGAGUUCACGAGUCAUGAAUAAUGUCUCUGCAUGAUUAGGGCUCAUAAUUAGAAAGUGUC
rnacentral:snoRNA from 1 species